rnacentral:rRNA from 1 species
UACGUAGGGUGCGAGCGUUGUCCGGAAUUAUUGGGCGUAAAGGGCUCGUAGGCGGUUUGUCGCGUCGGGAGUGAAAUCCACUGGCUUAACUGGUGGCUUGCUUUCGAUACGGGCAGACUGGAGGUAUGCAGGGGAGAACGGAAUUCCUGGUGUAGCGGUGAAAAUGCGCAGAUAUCAGGAGGAACACCGGUGGCGAAGGCGGUUCUCUGGGCAUGUCCUGACGCUGAGGAGCGAAAAGCGUGGGGGAGCAAACAGG